UAACCAUGAUGUGGACAAGUAAGUAGAAAGUCUUUGAAGCACUCCCAGGCUUGGAAAACAGUUUAUUCCCCUUUUGGGAGAACGACAUGAUUUCCUUUUUAAGUGU